GCGUCGGUGUUGCAACGGUUCAGCACGCGCUCCCAGAAAGAGCGAAAUGUGAGUUCGAAUCCCACCCGAUGGGAGCG